rnacentral:rRNA from 1 species
AAUAGAUACCCAGGUAGUCCACGCCGUAAACGAUGAUUACUAGGUGUGGGGGGACUGACCCCUUCCGUGCCGCAGUUAACACAAUAAGUAAUCCACCUGGGGAGUACGGCCGCAAGGUUGAAACUCAAAGGAAUUGACGGGGGCCCGCACAAGCAGUGGAGUAUGUGGUUUAAUUCGAAGCAACGCGAAGAACCUUACCAGGUCUUGACAUCACGUGACGAACUAAGAGAUUAGUUCUCCCUUCGGGGCACAAAGACAGGUGGUGCAUGGUUGUCGUCAGCUCGUGUCGUGAGAUGUUGGGUUAAGUCCCGCAACGAGCGCAACCCUUACCAUUAGUUGCUACGCAAGAGCACUCUAAUGGGACUGCCGUUGACAAAACGGAGGAAGGUGGGGAUGACGUCAAAUCGAUCAUGCCCCUUAUGACCUGGGCUACACACGUACUACAAUGGCAAUUAAACAGAGGGAAGCAAAACAGCGAUGUUAAAGCAAAUCCCGAAAAUUGUCUCAGUUCGGAUUGUAGGCUGCAACUCGCCUACAUGAAGCCGGAAUU